rnacentral:tRNA from 4 species
UGCCCUCUCGUCUAGCGGCAGGACGCCUGAUUCUGACUCAGGUAAGCGUGGUUCGAAUCCACGGAGGGCAGCCA